UUUCUGCACGGCCACAUAGUACACACCAUGUGCACACCUGUAACCACUUGUAUUCUUUGAAGGAGCUUGGUUGGGCUGGAGGAGACAAUUCGGACCAGAAAGCUUUUCAUAAUCAUGGCUUUUUUCUCAUCUCUUCAUCCCAGUCAAAAUCUAACGCCUCGUCAUCCAGUUCUGACAGAGUGAAGAGGGAGAGGGUGGAAAGAUUCACUCUCUCAGGGGGCUGCUGCAGCUGGAAAGACUGCCUUUGCUGGCCAAGCACCGGAGCCGUGGUCGCAGGAGGGUUGUGGCUCCUGUCCCUGCUCUCCUUCCUUUCAGGAGGGAGGGAUUCUGAUUUGGAUUCUGGUGGGGAAGUGAAGGAGAAGUUUGCCAGUCUGGCCAUCGUGCCAGCGUGAACCUUGCUUUUAUUACUGCAGGAAGCCCCUUCCUUUCGGUCUUUCUUACAAGCUGGAUGUGAAUGCCCAGCCUGGCUCCCAAGCUCCAGUUCAGACUGAAUAACCCUUCUUUCGGGGCCCUGCUCCUUCUCCUCUCUCGGUCGAUGGCUCUCUGGUGGCUGCCUUGAGAGCGCCUUUGUCUGUCCCUGCAGCUGCUCAGAGCAUCUGUCUCCUGAGGUGGAUGUUGACUGUCCUGGCCCUGCCGCAGGCACACCUGCUUCUCUUCUUGUUCUUUGUCGGGGAAUUUUAGAACUGUCGACUGCUACUUUACUAGCGCUGGG
rnacentral:lncRNA from 1 species